rnacentral:rRNA from 1 species
UGGGGAAUUUUGGACAAUGGGCGAAAGCCUGAUCCAGCAAUGCCGCGUGUGUGAAGAAGGCCUUCGGGUUGUAAAGCACUUUUGUCCGGAAAUAAAUCCUUGGCUCCAAUACAGUCGGGGGAUGACGGUACCGGAAGAAUAAGCACCGGCUAACUACGUGCCAGCAGCCGCGGUAAUACGUAGGGUGCAAGCGUUAAUCGGAAUUACUGGGCGUAAAGCGUGCGCAGGCGGUUUGCUAAGACCGAUGUGAAAUCCCCGGGCUCAACCUGGGAACUGCAUUGGUGACUGGCAGGCUAGAGUAUGGCAGAGGGGGGUAGAAUUCCACGUGUAGCAGUGAAAUGCGUAGAGAUGUGGAGGAAUACCGAUGGCGAAGGCAGCCCCCUGGGCCAAUACUGACGCUCAUGCACGAAAGCGUGGGGAGCAAACAGGAUUAGAUACCCUGGUAGUCCACGCCCUAAACGAUGUCAACUAGUUGUUGGGGAUUCAUUUCCUUAGUAACGUAGCUAACGCGUGAAGUUGACCGCCUGGGGAGUACGGUCGCAAGAUUAAAACUCAAAGGAAUUGACGGGGUCAUAGCUGUUUCCU